rnacentral:rRNA from 1 species
UCCAAUCGAACUCGGAGAUAGCUGGUUCUCCCCGAAAUAGCUUUAGGGCUAGCCUCAUAUUAGAUACCCGGAGGUAAAGCACUGAAUGGCCUAGCGCCCGAGAGGGUAGCGAAGCCUAUCAAACUAAGAAUGCCGGAGUAUUGAUGUAUGGGAGUCAGACAGUGUGAGAUAAAUCUCAUUGUCAAAAGGGAAACAGCCCAGAUCUACAGCUAAGGUCCCAAAUUGUAUCUAAGUGGAAAACGAUGUGGAAAUACGCAGACAACCAGGAUGUUGGCUCAGAAGCAGCCACUCAUUUAAAGAGUGCGUAAUAGCUCACUGGUCGAGCGUCUCUGCGCGGAAAAUUUAACGGGGCUAAGAUACAAACCGAAGCUUAGGCUGCACGUAAGUGCGGGGUAGGGGAGCGUUGUGUAAGCGGAGAAACAGUAGCGUAAGCGGCUGUGGAGUUUACAGAAGUGAGAAUGCCGGAAUGAGUAGCGCGAAUGUGGUGAGAAUCCACAUGGCCGGAAACCUCAGGUUUUUGGAGGAAGGUUCGUCCGCUCCAAGUUAGGCGGGAGCUAAGGUCAGGCCGAAAGGCGUAGCCGAUGCACAGACGGUAGAGAUUCCGUCCCCACCGAAAGAUUUAAGCACAGGGACACUUUUUGAAGGUCGGAGCCAGGUGUUGGUUCUGGUAGUGAUCGAGGGAAAUAUAGUACCGAAGUCCGGCUGGAGGAGAGGCGAGAAAAGCUGUGUGUAUAUCUAAGGUGCCCGUACCGCAAACCGACACAGGUAGGUAGGAAGAAGAUUCUAAGGCCAACGGGAGAAGGGUUGUUAAGGAACUCGGCAAGUUGACCCCGUAACUUCGGAAUAAGGGGUGCUCACGAGAGUGAGCCGCAGAGAAUAGGCCCAGGCAACUGUUUACCAAAAACACAGGUUUGUGCUAAAUCGAAAGAUGACGUAUACGAGCUGACGCCUGCCCGGUGCUGGAAGGUUAAGAGGAGAUGUGCAAGCAUUGAAUCGAAGCCCCAGUGAACGGCGGCCGUAACUAUAACGGUCCUAAGGUAGCGAAAUUCCUUGUCAGGUAAGUUCUGACCCGCAUGAAAGGCGUAAUGAUUUGGGCACUGUCUCAACAGCCCGCCCGGCGAAAUUGUAGUACCGGUGAAGAUGCCGGUUACCCGCGACAAGACGGAAAGACCCCAUGGAGCUUUACUGUAGCCUGAUAUUGGGUUUCGGUGUUGCAUGCACAGGAUAGAUGGGACGCUGGGAAAGAAGCGCUUUGGCGUUUCUGGAGCGGACGUUGGGAUACCAUCCUUGCGACAUUGGAAUUCUAACCUGCGCCUCUGAAUCGAGGCGGGGGACAUUGUCAGGUGGGCAGUUUGACUGGGGCGGUCGCCUCCUAAAAAGUAGCGGAGGCGUUCAAAGGUUCGUUCGAUCUGGACGGAAACCAGAUGAUUGAGUGCAAACGCAUAAACGAGCCUGACUGCGAGACUGACGGGUCGAGCAGAGACGAAAGUCGGAGUUAGUGAUCCGGUGGUAUGUGAGUGGAAAUGCCAUCGCUCAACGGAUAAAAGUUACCCUGGGGAUAACAGGCUGAUCUCCCCCAAGAGUCCACAUCGACGGGGAGGUUUGGCACCUCGAUGUCGGCUCAUCGCAUCCUGGGGCUGAAUUCGGUCCCAAGGGUUUGGCUGUUCGCCAAUUAAAGCGGUACGCGAGCUGGGUUCAGAACGUCGUGAGACAGUUCGGUCCCUAU